UACAGAGACCUCAAGCGUUAUCCGGAUUUAUUGGGCGUAAAGGGUCCGCAGGCGGCCUUGCGCGUCACAUGUCAAAUCUUCGGGCUCAACCCGGAGGCCGCAUGUGAUACGGCAAGGCUAGAGACUGGGAGAGGUGCGCGGAAUUACCGGUGUAGGGGUAAUAUCCGUUAAUAUCGGUAAGAACACCAAAUGCGAAGGCAGCGCACUGGAACAUGUCUGACGCUCAGGGACGAAAGCGUGGGGAGCGAAAGGG
rnacentral:misc_RNA from 1 species